rnacentral:rRNA from 1 species
CCUACGUGAGGCUGCAGUAGGGAAUCUUCCACAAUGGGCGAAAGCCUGAUGGAGCAACGCCGCGUGGGUGAAGAAGGUCUUCGGAUCGUACAACCCUGUUGUUAGAGAAGAAAGUGCGUGAGAGUAACUGUUCACGUUUCGACGGUAUCUAACCAGAAAGCCACGGCUAACUACGUGCCAGCAGCAGCCGUAAUACGUAGGUGGCAAGCGUUAUCCGGAUUUAUUGGGCGUAAAGGGAACGCAGGCGGUCUUUUAAGUCUGAUGUGAAAGCCUUCGGCUUAACCGGAGUAGUGCAUUGGAAACUGGGAGACUUGAGUGCAGAAGAGGAGAGUGGAAGUCCAUGUGUAGCGGUGAAAUGCGUAGAUAUAUGGAAGAACACCAGUGGCGAAAGCGGCUCUCUGGUCUGUAACUGACGCUGAGGUUCGAAAGCGUGGGUAGCAAACAGGAUUAGAUACCCGGGUAGUC